AGAACGUCUUCUUCAAUUAUAAUCAACUAUCAAGCGGGUACUAUGGUCCAUCAAGUAUGCCAGGAGUGUAUUCGAGAGGAUAUGGGCACAUCUGUCAAACGAUAACGCAGGUGUCCUAAGGUGAGCUCAAUGAGAACAGAAAUCUCAUGUAGAACAAAAGGGUAAAAGCUCACUUGAUUUUGAUUUUCAGUAUGAAUACAAACUGUGAAAGCAUGGCCUAUCGAUCCUUUAGUCUUUAGGAGUUUUAAGCUAGAGGUGUCAGAAAAGUUACCACAGGGGUAACUGGCUUGUGGCAGCCAAGCGUUCAUAGCGACGUUGCUUUUGAUACUGUGGGUUCUACUAGUUU
rnacentral:ncRNA from 1 species